AUUGAACGCUGGCGGCAUGCUUUACACAUGCAAGUCGAACGGUAACAGGCCUUCGGGUGCUGACGAGUGGCGAACGGGUGAGUAAUGCAUCGGAACGUGCCCAAUCGUGGGGGAUAACGUAGCGAAAGUUACGCUAAUACCGCAUAUUCUGUGAGCAGGAAAGCAGGGGAUCGCAAGACCUUGCGCUGAUUGAGCGGCCGAUAUCAGAUUAGCUAGUUGGUGAGGUAAAGGCUCACCAAGGCGACGAUCUGUAGCGGGUCUGAGAGGAUGAUCCGCCACACUGGAACUGAGACACGGUCCAGACUCCUACGGGAGGCAGCAGUGGGGAAUAUUGGGCAAUGGGCGCAAGCCUGACCCAGCUAUGCCGCGUGUGUGAAGAAGGCC
rnacentral:rRNA from 1 species